CUUCUUCCUGCAGUGUCACCAGCUCAUUGAGCAGUAUGAGCCUCUGCUGGUACAGCUGCUGCUCCAGACGCUCGACCCGGACUUUGUCUGCAUGAAGCUGGGAGCAUGUCCCGAGGUAGUGCAGAAGCUGCUGGGAUUGGAGCAGUGCAGCUGGGGGCCAGCAUACUGGUGUAAGAACGUGGAGACCGCAUCUCGCUGUAACGCCUUGGAUCACUGCAGGCGUCACGUGUGGAGCUAAAGGAUGAGCAGAGCGUUCCACAACAAUCUUUGGAAACUAAAGGAGAAUUGCUGUAGAGCUGCUUUCCUGUUUUGAAAUCAAUACUUGGGUUUUCUUUUAAAAAGUGACAUUUGAAAUUGAACUGUCACAGCUAAUUUAACAGCCUUGUUUCUGAGGCAAGAAAGCUUUUACUGAAAGGACAUGUAUUUUGAGGGGGCAGGGGUUUUGGAGAGAUAUGAAUGGCGUAUAUGGGAAAUGCACUGAAACUGGAUUUUUUUUUUGCUAUUUUGCAGACUUUUGUUUUUAAAAUGAAUGUUCUUUUAGUUGUUUCUUCAUAUGAUUAUAGCAUGAGUAUAUAUGGAAAUAGAUUGUGCCUUUAUCAGAAAAGGGGGUCUGAAACCCCUGAGAAUGAAAUGCUUUGGAUGCUCUAAAAUCCCUGCCUCCCUCUUUAACUGUGCAAAUGCACCUGCAAGGCCAGUGAUUUAAAUCUUAGUUUUUAAUGGGUGACACUUUUGGUCCUAAUGGAAGUCAAUUCUCUUUAUAACUGUCAUUUUGUGAUAGUUAAUAAACUGAAGGGGAAGUGUUGACAUUCUUCAUUUGAUCCCACUAACUGUUGCCCUUCACUGAUUGAUCUGUCACUGCUUCCUAAAUGUCAGAUUUUCUAAGCUUCCUAAAUGACUGAAGCUUUUGUUUUUUAAAAAU